AAACUUUUUUUCACUACCCUUCAUACUACAGCUGUCGAAAAACCACAGCAACGUCGACAGACCUGGAGGCAUAGCUGUACUUGUUUAACUCACAACGACAACGGGUCAAUUAUGAGUGAAGAACCGUUCACCAAAUGAAGACCGCAGCCAGGUGACGGGAUUCUGUGGUAAUCGCAAACAGAGUGAAAUGCACACGGUGAGUAAUGAACGCAGACCUUCAGUGCCGGACCUCUGACCCGCUAACCUCCAUCCCGACAGCCAGCGCCUUCUCCGGAUGCCAUUGCGGUAUAGCUUCUCGGCUUUUUGGGUAAGAUCGAGUGGACACCGGGGACUACACGUUUAAAUGGAUUUUUGACCUUCGGCUAUGGAAGCGAGGCUUGCUCCGUCCACUCCGUGCAUCGACUCUGGCGUUUUCCGGGGACAAAUAAGGUGAGUUUA